rnacentral:ncRNA from 1 species
UGCCGCAAUUUUGCGGACUUAUGCAGAAUUGACCCACUGCGUAUUACAUAGAACGUAACUUAGGAGAAAACAAAUG